UACGUAGGGGGCAAGCGUUGUCCGGAUUUAUUGGGCGUAAAGAGCGUGUAGGCGGUUUUACAGGUCCGCUGUGAAAACUCGAGGCUCAACCUCGAGCUGUCGGUGGAAGCCGUAAGGCUAGAGUCCGGAAGAGGAGAGUGGAAUUCCUGGUGUAGCGGUGAAAUGCGCAGAUAUCAGGAAGAACACCCGUGGCGAAGGCGGCUCUCUGGGACGGUACUGACGCUGAGAGCGAAGGCGUGGGGAGCGAACGGG
rnacentral:rRNA from 1 species